rnacentral:rRNA from 1 species
UACGUAGGGGGCAAGCGUUGUCCGGAUUUAUUGGGCGUAAAGAGCGUGUAGGCGGCCAUACAGGUCAGCUGUGAAAACUCGAGGCUCAACCUCGAGACGUCGGUUGAAACCGUAUGACUAGAGUCCGGAAGAGGAGAGUGGAAUUCCUGGUGUAGCGGUGAAAUGCGCAGAUAUCAGGAAGAACACCCGUGGCUAAGGCGGCUCUCUAGUACGGUACUGACGCUGAGACGCGAAAGCGUGGGGAGCGAACAGG